AUUGAACGCUGGCGGCAGGCCUAACACAUGCAAGUCGAACGAGUGGCGGACGGGUGAGUAAUGUCUGGGAAUCUGCCUGAUAGAGGGGGAUAACUACUGGAAACGGUAGCUAAUACCGCAUACUAUCAGAUGAGCCCAGAUGGGAUUAGCUUGUGGGUGGGGUAACGGCUCACCUAGGCGACGAUCCCUAGCUGGUCUGAGAGGAUGACCAGCCACACGGGAACGGAGACACGGUCCAGACUCCUACGGGAGGCAGCAGUGGGGAAUAUUGCACAAUGGGCGCAAGCCUGAUGCAGCCAUGCCGCGUGUAUGAAGAAGGCCUUCGGGUUGUAAAGUACUUUCAGCGGGGAGGCGUUACCCGCAGAAGAAGCACCGGCUAACUCCGUGCCAGCAGCCGCGGUAAUAC
rnacentral:rRNA from 1 species